rnacentral:misc_RNA from 1 species
UACGGGAGGCAGCAGUGGGGAAUUUUGGACAAUGGGGAAACCUGAUCAGCCAUCCCGCGUGUGCGAUGAAGGCCUUCGGGUUGUAAAGCACUUUUGGCAGGAAAACGGCACAGGAUAUGCGAUGCAACUGACGGCUACCUGCAGAAUAAGCACCGGCUAACUACGCACCAGCAGCCGCGGUAAUACGUAGGGUGCAAGCGUUAAUCGGAAUUACUGGGCGUAAAGCGUGCGCAGGCGGUUCGGAAGAAGAUGUGAAAUCCCAGAGCUUAACUUUGGAACUGCAUUUUAACUACCGAGCUAGAGUGUGUCAGAGGGAGGUGGAAUUCCGCGAUAUGGCAGUGAAAUGCGUAGAAUAUGCGGAGGAACACCGAUGGCGAAACAGCCUCCUGGGAUCACCACUGACUCAUACAGCGUGACAAGCAAGUUUAGUGCCGCGUAGU